GUUUGAGUUACUCAUUGCCUCACUUUGUGGGGCAAAGUUCUAACACCCAGUCAACUGUUUAGGUUGUCAGCCUAAAAACCUGCCCUUGGCACAAUUCCUUCUUGCAAAAUGCAGCGAGCAGGGGAUCAGGUGCUGGCAUCCAAACUCUGACCUGCUGGAAGAGCAACAAGGGUUAACUGCUGAGCCAUUUCUCCAGCCAGGACUGGAUCUCACUUCCCUGGACACUGAGGGAGGAUACCAGGAGACUCUACCUUUCCUGAUCAUGCCUUGGUCUUUUCUGUGACCAGGCUCCUUCAUGAAGGAGGCCCCAUCAACAAGGCAAUGUGUCUUUACACAGACGACUCUCCUGUUCCUGCAGCUGCUGAGAGUUUUAGGAGCUAUCGGAAUUUUAAAAUGAAAACCGAAUGUACACCGCUUCGUAUCCCUGGUGGCGUCCAUGUUUUAUUGAGCAUGACUAUAGAACCAGGAAAUGUUUACAGUCCCUCUGUUGAGGAACACUGCAGAGGCUUUAAGAGAGUUAAGGAUUUCUAAGGUGAUAGUUUUCUCCUUUAGGUAUCAGGUAGAGUAAGACAGGUCUCUAAUAGCACAAAAGUAAGUGUUGGGAAAGAGAAGAAAGAAUGCAGGAAGGCCCCAAGGACCACAGAGACUAGACAGACAAAGAAAAGGAAGGAGAGACAUCAGAUGGUGGAUGGUGUGAACCAGGGGCAGAAACUUGCACAGUGAACCACAGAGCAAAGAGUGGGGGCUAUCUGAAGAAAAAAUGGGAGGCAGCUGGGGAGCUGCGUACAGGAGCAGCCUGUGGAAGUGCUGGGAUUGCCACAGCAAUGGGAGCCAUGAAAGGGAGGCAUUGGGCUCCCUCCUUCCAUACCUUGGCCAAGGCUCUGCUCUCCUUUAAAAAUCAAGAAAAGGAAGCAAUGUUUCCUAAGAAAUAAAACCCAGGAGGAGAUUAUAACACUGGAAGGUCCUUUAUUUUCUUUAUAUAGAGCAAUAGCAAUGUGACUUGAAUAAGGAGUCGUUUGGUAAACUGAGGAGAAAACCAAGUUAGGUAUAGCUGAGGGUGUAAGUCAAUAGGGCCCUGAGGGGCCAUCUGGUGAAGUCUAGUGUAAGAGUUUACAGGUGCAUGGCUGAAGCCAAAGUGUUAGGACUUGCUCCUUGGAAUACUUAUAAGGAAACAGAGCUGAUAUGCUAUGACUAGCUUCCAAGUAUUACAGAUAUAGCGUUUUAUAUUUUUCAGUGUAAAAUCAAAAGGCCUCACAUGUUAAGGAAUUGCCCAAGCCAUGCAUGGUGGUAGGUGCAUUCAGUCCCAGCACUUGGGAGGCAGAGGCAGGCAGAUCUCUGUAAAUUUGAGACCAGCCUGGUCUACAGAGUGAGCUCCAGGACAGCCAAAGCUACACAGAGAAUCGCUGUCUCAAAACAGGGUGGCGGAGGGAUAAAGAGAUGGUUCAGUACAUCCUAGGUCUGAUUCCCAGAAACCACAUGAUAGCUCACAUCCAGUAAUACUGGGGUCUGAUGCCCUCUUCUGGCAUGCAGGUGUACAUGCAGGUAGAGCACUCAUGUAGAGUAAAUAAAUAAAUCUAAAACAAAGAUAAGCUUUUGACGUUCCGCCCCUAGAUAAGGAGCUGUUGGCAAUAGGCAACUACAGUGAGAGGGAUCGUUCAGGAAUGCAGGCCCUGAGAGGCCCCUCAUGCUCCAGUAGAUGGCCCUAUGCCCGCACACAGACUGGGAACAUAGGUGAACUCAGUGUGUGUAAUAAAAAGUGAAGAAGGAAAAUGGGCCAGGCGGUAGUUAGUGCACACCUUUUUCCCCAGCUCUUGAGAGGCAGAGGCAGGCAGAUCUCUGUGAGUUCAAGGCCAGCCUGGCUACACAGAAGAACCUAUCUGAAAAAGAAGAAAAAGAAGCUCAGAGGUAGAGUGCUUGCCUAGCAAGUGGAAGGCCCCGGGUUCAAUCCUCAGCUCUGGGAAAAAAAAAAAAAAAAAAAAAAAAGGUGGGGGGAGGAGCAGGAGCAGGGUAUAGGAGAAGAGUUGGAGGGGAAGGAAUGAGGGCAGAUCAGAUAUAUCCAGUAUAUGAAAUUCUCAAACAAUAAUAAUUUAUAUAUGUAGUUCAUAUAACAGAUAGAACCCAAAAUGUACAAGACUAUUUUGAAUGAAAUUAUACUUUAUUAAGAGGUAUUAAAAGAUAAACAACCAAGGUAUGCUGCCUAAUUUUAUUUCAACUUGACACAAAUGAGGAUCAUCUGACUUCAUCUGAGGAGGGACGCUCAGUUGAGAAAAGAUCCUAAGACCAGGCUGUAGGACAUUGUCUUAAUUAGUGAUCGAUGUAGGAGGGCCCACCCCAUUUUGUAUGGUUCCAUUCCUGGGCUGGUAGUCCUUGGUUCUAUAAGAAAGGCUGAGCAAGCCUAUAAGCAGCACCCCUCCAUGGUCUCUGCCCCAUCUCCUGCUUCCAGGUUCCUGCCCUGCUUGCGUUCCUGUCCUGACUUCCUUCAGUGAGGAACAAUGGUGGAAGCGGAAGCUAAAUAAACCCUUUCCUCCCAACUUCUUUGUAGUCAUGGUGUUUCAUCAUAGCAAC